rnacentral:tRNA from 1 species
GGACCUAUAGCUCAAUCGGUAAGAGCAAUCUCCUUAUAAGGGAUAGGUUUCUGGUUCAAAUCCAGAUGGGUCCACCA